AUGUGACCAGGAAGCAGAGCUACCUUUCACACAAGACACUCAUCCAAAGGGAUAUACAACUGAAAGCAGAGUCAGACAGUCCUUGGAGUAACUGGGAGUUAAGGGCCUUGCUCAAGGGCCCAACAGUGACAUCACUCUGCUGACCCUGGGAUUAGAACCAGCAACCUUCCGAUCACAGGAAGAAGGUCAGGAGCUCUCCUUUCCCUUUCACAUAGAUGGGCCCUCGGCGCACAAACCGGAAUCCAUACUCCUUCAAGAUGAUAUAACAGUCCUCCACCACCUGGGGGCGAUAAAUUUGUUACAGGGCAGUUUAAUUGACACGUUUUACUGACCAAUGGUGCGUUCGAUUAUUUCUCUCCAAGUCUGAACUCGGAUGAAAACGUCACGAAAAACGUCACUUCCCGUCGGAAACACGC